rnacentral:rRNA from 1 species
UACGGGGGGGGUAAGCGUUGUUCGGAAUUACUGGGCGUAAAGGGCUCGUAGGCGGCCAACUAAGUCAGACGUGAAAUCCCUCAGCUUAACUGGGGAACUGCGUCCGAUACUGGUUGGCUUGAAUCUGGGAGAGGGAUGUGGAAUUCCAGGUGUAGCGGUGAAAUGCGUAGAUAUCUGGAGGAACACCGGUGGCGAAGGCGACAUCCUGGACCGGUAUUGACGCUGAGGCGCGAAAGCCAGGGGAGCAAACGGG